ensembl:snRNA U6 U6 spliceosomal RNA
GUGCUCGCUUUGGCAGCACAUGCACUAAAAUUGGAGCGAUACAGAGAAGAUUAGCCCGGCCCCGUGCAAGGAUGACAUGCAAAUUCGUGAAGCGUCCAUAUUUUUA